CUAAUUUUCUUCUUUUCUUUCUCAAACAAAUUGAUAUCUCGUUAUGGGAUUGGCACCUCCACCUUCAACACCGGUAUCUCUCAUCUUCAACAAGAACAAGUAAUGGCAAUGAUUGUGAGAUGCAAAAGGAACUUUGAAAGGGGUAUUAGUAGCUGUGAUUCAAGCGGAGUCUUGGAACCACAAUUAGCCUCUACGAGAGAGGAUUGAUGACCGCAAGGUGAUGGAGUUCCAGAUUUCAUUAGUUCACCUGCUUCAACCAAAGAAGUCAGCAUCAUGGACCAAACCUUAUCAGAUCAGUGUAUCAUAUCUGGGAUCUAGGACAUCAAUGACCACCAUAAUUGGGGGUAUAGACAUUGGAAAGAUGUAGAUGAAAGUAUGGAGUUAUGUAAACUAGUACAUUAUCAAACUCUGGAACUAUUUUGCCCAUCAUAUUUUUAAGGAUUUGAUUGCAGAAAUCAUGUCCGACAUAUAGUGCCAUAUUUGGAGGUACAGGGAUGGGAAGUAAUAGUCUUUUGGAGUGUAAUUGCAUGAAUGUAUGAACAGAUGGAUUCGUAAAUGUAUAAACCAAAUUUUA